AUACGUAGGGAGCGAGCGUUGUCCGGAAUUACUGGGUGUAAAGGGAGCGUAGGCGGGAGUGCAAGUCAGACGUGAAAUACAUGGGCUCAACCCAUGGGCUGCAUUUGAAACUGCAUUUCUUGAGUGAAGUAGAGGUAAGCGGAAUUCCUGGUGUAGCGGUGAAAUGCGUAGAUAUCAGGAGGAACACCGGUGGCGAAGGCGGCUUACUGGGCUUUUACUGACGCUGAGGCUCGAAAGCGUGGGGAGCAAACAGGAUUAGAUACCCUGGUAGUCCACGCUGUAAACGAUGAUUACUAGGUGUGGGGGGACUGACCCCUUCCGUGCCGCAGUUAACACAAUAAGUAAUCCACCUGGGGAGUACGGCCGCAAGGUUGAAACUCAAAUGAAUUGACGGGG
rnacentral:rRNA from 1 species